GGCCAAAAUCCGGAUGAGCUGCCUUAUUAUUUAAAACAUCACAGUAAAUGGGAAAAACACCUGAAGGGUUACGUUCAUAGAAUGUACAAUCAGUUCGACCUGGAUGACACCCGAAAAUUGUUGGAAUCGGUAGGUUUUAAAGUACUUAGUGGAACGUCACACACGCCAUGUGAAAAUGUCGACAUCUCGAGUCAAGACGAAUUAGACGAAUACCUGCGUACGCUCCUUGGGCACAUAGUAUACUUACCACGAGAGUACCACACAGAGUUUCUUCAAGAUGCGAGUGACUGGUGUAAUAAAAACUUCCCAGUCAAUCAUCUAGGAAAUAUAUACUGUAAAGCGAUGAUAAUUGUCGUACAUGCUAUAAAAAAAGUAAAUUUAUAUAAUACUUGAGUUACAUGACCAUCAUUCUUUUUCUUCAUAUUCGAGGUCGUCAUCUAUUAUAAUAUAUACUUAAGUUAGUUGUCUAAUUUUUAUCAAAAU